rnacentral:rRNA from 1 species
AGCGAACGCCGGCGGCAGGCUUAACACAUGCAAGUCGAGCGGGCAUAGCAAUAUGUCAGCGGCAGACGGGUGAGUAACGCGUGGGAACGUACCUUUUGGUUCGGAACAACUGAGGGAAACUUCAGCUAAUACCGGAUAAGCCCUUACGGGGAAAGAUUUAUCGCCGAAAGAUCGGCCCGCGUCUGAUUAGCUAGGUGGUGAGGUAAUGGCUCACCAAGGCGACGAUCAGUAGCUGGUCUGAGAGGAUGAUCAGCCACAUUGGGACUGAGACACGGCCCAAACUCCUACGGGAGGCAGCAGUGGGGAAUAUUGGACAAUGGGCGCAAGCCUGAUCCAGCCAUGCCGCGUGAGUGAUGAAGGCCCUAGGGUUGUAAAGCUCUUUUGUGCGGGAAGAUAAUGACGGUACCGCAAGAAUAAGCCCCGGCUAACUUCGUGCCAGCCGCCGCAGUAA